rnacentral:rRNA from 1 species
GUCGAGCGAACAGACGAGGAGCUUGCUUCUCUGACGUUAGCGGCGGACGGGUGAGUAACACGUGGAUAACCUACCUAUAAGACUGGGAUAACUUCGGGAAACCGGAGCUAAUACCGGAUAAUAUAUUGAACCGCAUGGUUCAAUAGUGAAAGACGGUUUUGCUGUCACUUAUAGAUGGAUCCGCGCCGCAUUAGCUAGUUGGUAAGGUAACGGCUUACCAAGGCAACGAUGCGUAGCCGACCUGAGAGGGUGAUCGGCCACACUGGAACUGAGACACGGUCCAGACUCCUACGGGAGGCAGCAGUAGGGAAUCUUCCGCAAUGGGCGAAAGCCUGACGGAGCAACGCCGCGUGAGUGAUGAAGGUCUUCGGAUCGUAAAACUCUGUUAUUAGGGAAGAACAAAUGUGUAAGUAACUAUGCACGUCUUGACGGUACCUAAUCAGAAAGCCACGGCUAACUACGUGCCAGCAGCCGCGGUAAUACGUAGGUGGCAAGCGUUAUCCGGAAUUAUUGGGCGUAAAGCGCGCGUAGGCGGUUUUUUAAGUCUGAUGUGAAAGCCCACGGCUCAACCGUGGAGGGUCAUUGGAAACUGGAAAACUUGAGUGCAGAAGAGGAAAGUGGAAUUCCAUGUGUAGCGGUGAAAUGCGCAGAGAUAUGGAGGAACACCA